rnacentral:misc_RNA from 1 species
GAAAUGAAAUGUGCCUAUGGAGUGUUGAUCAUCGCUAUAUUCUGGAUGACGGAGGUGAUGCCCCUGGCAGUGACGGCGCUUCUACCACUGGUCUUGUUCCCCUUCAUGAGUGUAUCUACAUCUAAGACCCUGUCGUACAAUUACCUCAAGGACACCAAUAUGUUAUUUGUUGGAGGGUUGAUUGUUGCUGUAGCUGUAGAAAACUGGAACCUUCACAAAAGGAUAGCUCUCAGGGUCCUGAUGAUGGUGGGAACCAAACCAAAAUGGCUAAUGUUUGGAUUUAUGAGUGUGACUGCCUUUCUCUCCAUGUGGAUCAGUAACACAGCCACCACUGCCAUGAUGGUGCCCAUUGUACAGGCAGUUCUAGAUGAACUGGAAGAGAGCAAAAAGCAAGAACUGCAGCAAUCAUUCAAAAACCAAGGCAGUGAGCUGGCUGGAAGUAUGGAAGAAAUGGUCCCCCUGAACCCCCCACCAGACCCAGAUGGAUCAGACACAGUCAUUGCUAGCACCAACACACUGGAUGUAGUGGUGAUGCCAGGUAAUGGGUUUGUGAGUGGUAUGAGCAGUACAAAUGAGUUGGCCAUGACAGAAGCCAUGAAGAAGAGCCAUGAGUACUUCAACAACAUGUGUAAAGGGAUGCUGCUGUGUAUCGCCCAUGCUGCUAACAUUGGAGGAACUGCCACAUUGACGGGGACGCCUCCCAAUCUGGUAAUCAAAGGACAGGUAGAUACGUUAUAUGGUUCAGAAGCUGGUAUCAACUUUAGCUCAUGGUUUGUGUUUGCUUUCCCUGCCAUGCUGUUGGCAUUAGCCGUUGCAUGGGUCUGGCUAACUGGAUACUUUCUAGGAUGGAGAACAAUGUUUAACUGUUGUUUUAAAAUGAAAGAGGAGGACAGCUCGGCUGCUGGGUAUACUAUAAAAAAAGCUUAUGACAAUUUAGGACCCAUGUCUUUUGCAGAAAUCGUAGUUUUGGUAGACUUUAUAGCGCUGGCUGUGCUAUGGCUGACCAGAGAACCUGAGUUUGUCACUGGAUGGGGAGAUUUUUUCAAAGACGGUGAUAUAAGUUAUAUCUCUGAUGCUACCUCAGCUAUAGCCAUGUCUGUGUUAUUAUUUGUUUUGCCAUCCAAGAGGCCAAACUUCUUCUGUCUCAGAGCAAAGCAUGAUGACAGCCCCCCAGGACCUGUGCCCCCCAUCUUGAAUUGGUCCACGGUGCAGAAGAAGUUGCCAUGGAAUGUGGUGGUACUGCUUGGAGGGGGGUUUGCAUUGGCCCAGGCCUGCAAUGAAUCGGGUCUGUCCAGGAUGAUAGGAGAAGCCAUGCGGGUGUUUUCUGGGAUACCUGCGGUGGGGAUCAUGCUUAUAAUGUGUAUAGCAGUAUCAGUAUGCACCAACGUCAUCAGCAAUGUUGCCACGGCAACCAUCUUUCUGCCAAUCUUAGCAGAACUAGCUGUAGCCAUAGAAGUACAUCCUCUCUACCUCAUGAUACCGGCAACCAUUACUAGCUCCUUUGCCUUCAUGUUGCCAGUAGCAACACCACCCAACGCCAUUGUAUACUCCUACGGACGGUUAACUAUGAAGGACAUGUUUUGUGGAUGGAAUUUGGAAUGAACCUACCACACGUGUCUGUAGACAUAAUGUGUGAUGUGAGAGACAGUGUGAAUGCUGAACAGCUCCCGCCUUGUGUCCCCACCAUGUGUCCCCAUCACGUAACCUGUUACACCAUGCUUGACAUUGUUGCUUGAUGUUAUCAGGCAUGGUGUUAAACAUAGUCUGUAUGGGGGUCAUUGUGCUGGCCAUCAACUCCUGGGGUAUGGCUUUCUAC